UACAGAGGUCCCAAGCGUUGUUCGGAUUCACUGGGCGUAAAGGGUGCGUAGGCGGUCGGGUAAGUCUGAUGUGAAAUCUCACAGCUUAACUGUGAAACUGCAUUGGAUACUAUCCGGCUCGAGGAAUGGAGGGGAGACUGGAAUACUUGGUGUAGCAGUGAAAUGCGUAGAUAUCAGGAGGAACACCUGCGGUGUAGACGGCUUUCUGGACCAUUGUUGACGCUGAGACACGAAAGCGUGGGUAGCAAACAGG
rnacentral:rRNA from 1 species